UGGGGAAUAUUGGACAAUGGGCGAAAGCCUGAUCCAGCCAUGCCGCGUGUGUGAAGAAGGUCUUCGGAUUGUAAAGCACUUUAAGUUGGGAGGAAGGGCAUUAACCUAAUACGUUAGUGUUUUGACGUUACCGACAGAAUAAGCACCGGCUAACUCUGUGCCAGCAGCCGCGGUAAUACAGAGGGUGCAAGCGUUAAUCGGAAUCACUGGGCGUAAAGCGCGCGUAGGUGGUUUGUUAAGUUGGAUGUGAAAUCCCCGGGCUCAACCUGGGAACUGCAUUCAAAACUGACUGACUAGAGUAUGGUAGAGGGUGGUGGAAUUUCCUGUGUAGCGGUGAAAUGCGUAGAUAUAGGAAGGAACACCAGUGGCGAAGGCGACCACCUGGACUAAUACUGACACUGAGGUGCGAAAGCGUGGGGAGCAAACA
rnacentral:rRNA from 1 species